CGGUCUGGCGGCGAGUGGCGAACGGGUGAGUAAUGUAUCGGAACGUGCCCAGUAGCGGGGGAUAACUACUCGAAAGAGUAGCUAAUACCGCAUACGCCCUACGGGGGAAAGGGGGGGAUCGCAAGACCUCUCACUAUUGGAGCGGCCGAUAUCGGAUUAGCUAGUUGGUGAGGUAAAGGCUCACCAAGGCGACGAUCCGUAGCUGGUUUGAGAGGACGACCAGCCACACUGGGACUGAGACACGGCCCAGACUCCUACGGGAGGCAGCAGUGGGGAAUUUUGGACAAUGGGGGCAACCCUGAUCCAGCCAUCCCGCGUGUGCGAUGAAGGCCUUCGGGUUGUAAAGCACUUUUGGCAGGAAAGAAAUCGCAUGGAUUAAUACUCUGUGUGGAUGACGGUACCUGCAGAAUAAGCACCGGCUAACUACGUGCCAGCAGCCGCGGUAAUACGUAGGGUGCAAGCGUUAAUCGGAAUUACUGGGCGUAAAGCGUGCGCAGGCGGUUCGGAAAGAAAGAUGUGAAAUCCCAGGGCUUAACCUUGGAACUGCAUUUUUAACUCCCGAGCUAGAGUGCGUCAGAGGGGGGUGGAAUUCCGCGUGUAGCAGUGAAAUGCGUAGAUAUGCGGAGGAACACCGAUGGCGAAGGCAGCCCCCUGGGAUGACACUGACGCUCAUGCACGAAAGCGUGGGGAGCAAACAGGA
rnacentral:rRNA from 1 species